rnacentral:rRNA from 1 species
UGCGUAGGCGUCCAGGAAAGUUAUUUGUUAAAUCCUCCGGCUUAACCGGAGACCUGCAAGUAAAACUAUCUGGAUAGAGUUUAAGAGAGGAAAAUGGAAUUCCUGGUGUAGCGGUGACAUGCGUAGAUAUCAGGAGGAACAUCAACGGCGAAGGCAAUUUUCUGGCUUAAAACUGACGCUGAGGCACGAAAGCAUGGGGAGCGAACAGGAUUAGAUACCCUGGUAGUCC